CCGCUCAGCGGGCGCGGUGAUUGGAAGGGACGGGAGUGACGUCACCAACGAGCGACAGGCAAAAUCGGGGAAGCUGGAAGGAAGAAAAAAAAACUCGCUUGCACCCGGAGUCGGAUCAUGACGAAACUGCUUCAGUGGCUCGGCUCUCUGGCUGUACUGGGUGGCGUCUGGGCUGCGUUGAUGCUGGACCUCGUGGGGUCCUACCCUUUAUCCCCAAGCUGGCACCAGGUGCUGUGGGCCCUGCCAACCUACCUGUUGGUCACCUUCGGCUGCUACUCGCUGGGAGUUGUGGGCUACCGCCUGGCUACCUUCAACGACUGCCAAGAGGCCUCGCUUGAGCUGCAGGCCCAAAUCCAAGAGGCCCGAGCUGACCUCGCCCGACAUGGCAUGAAGUUUUGACCUGCGGCCUUUAUGGGAACAGAAAUUGCCCACGGACAGUAAACGAUUGUUCAGUGUAUGACUGAACUGUUGAGGAGGGUUUGCAGCCUGGCUGGGGAAUCCGUGUCAAGAAAAAGAGCUGCUUCCUUUUUUUAAAUAAAAUAAAUUUUUAUUAAAAGUUUGAACA